GGAGUGCGGCGUAGCACUGCAUAUUAGAUGGUGAUAAAACGCCCAGCUCUUCAUUCUCAGAGACCUUUGAAAUAGAAUACCGUAAAGAGCACACCAGGAUACUGGAUUAAAGCAGACCUACAACCUCCAAUGAGGUAGUAAGGGAUGGAGUUCAGAUAACCAUCAUUGUGCAGUAUUUCAGGUCAGAAGAAGGCAUUGGAUCCUCUGAAAAUGGAGUUAGAGACCAUGUUGGUGCUGGGAACCGAACCCUGGUCCUCUGCAAGAGGUUCUCUUCAUGGCUGAGUCAUCUCUCCAGUCUGCUUUAUCCAGAUGACUCUGAAGCUGCAGCAAGUCUUACAGCCCGAAGCUAAUUGUUUAAACUUCCUUUCCUCUUAUCUGUGUGUGUGUAGGACAGGGAGAGAGGAGGAGCGAGGACAUGCAGAAAGCAGAUGUGAAAAUAAAUAUUUAUCAACAAAAGCUUGGCAAACCUUGACUAGUAUUUCUC
rnacentral:lncRNA from 1 species